rnacentral:rRNA from 1 species
UACGUAGGGGAGCAAGCGUUGUCCGGAAUCAUUGGCGUAAAGCGCGCGUAGGCGGCUCGAUCAGUCUGUUGUGAAAGUCAAAGGCUCAACCUUUGAAUGCCGAUGGAUACUGUCGAGCUAGAGUCCGGAAGAGGCGGGUGGAAUUCCUGGUGUAGCGGUGGAAUGCGCAGAUAUCAGGAGGAACACCAACGGCGAAGGCAGCCCGCUGGGACGGUACUGACGCUAAGGCGCGAAAGCGUGGGGAGCGAACAGG